CUUGACGGAGCCCAGCCACAGCGGGCUCUCCGGAUCCCGGUCCCGGCCGUACGUGGCGAGCAGGGCCUGCGCCUC
rnacentral:antisense_RNA from 1 species